CAGUCGCCGCGGGAAUACGUAGGGUGCGAGCGUUAAUCGGAAUUACUGGGCGUAAAGCGUGCGUAGGUGGUGGUUUAAGUCCGUUGUGAAAGCCCUGGGCUCAACCUGGGAAUUGCAGUGGAUACUGGGUCACUAGAGUGUGGUAGAGGAUAGUGGAAUUUCCGGUGUAGCAGUGAAAUGCGUAGAGAUCGGAAGGAACAUCUGUGGCGAAGGCGACUAUCUGGGCCAACACUGACACUGAGGCACGAAAGCGUGGGGAGCAAACAGGAUUAGAUACCCCUGUAGUCCCUGUCUCUUAUAC
rnacentral:rRNA from 1 species